GCGUUGAGUGGUGCAGGAGCGUUGGGAUUAAGUUGGUUAAUGACUCGCUCUAAUAAGACUUGUUGGUUAUUACCUGUGGCAAGCAAGUCUUAAUAUG
rnacentral:tRNA from 1 species